GCAAAGAGGGACUAUUAAAUGAAGCGAGGGAGCUAUUUGAGAAAAUGGAGGAAUUUGGUUGUCAACCUAACCAUAUCACAUAUAACACAAUUAUCCAAGGCUUCUUGCAUCAUAAUGAGACUUCAUGGGUAGUGAAAUAUAUUGAAAUGAUGGUUGACAAGGGUUUCCCGGCAAAUGCGACCACGGCAACCAUUUUGAUUGACUUGUUGACUACUAAUCAGGCAGAUAAAACAUUACAAGAUUUUUUUCUUAAAUCUGUGUGAAAAAUUUCUAGUUCUUCAACGUUCAUGACAAAUUUGAUAUUCUAAACUUUACAGAGUUAUUCUGUAAGGUACAAACAUAUUUGCUGCAUGUCAUUAAGGGAUCUCAUGAUUGAAGGAACACUCUUGAAGGUCUAGGAGCUUGGUGGUUAUGUGUUGUUGAUUUUGUUUGAUGCUGCUGGAUAUUGGAAAUUGGAUGUUGGUGGUUAUGUGCUGUUCAACUGGAUUUUACAAGUUAGAUGCUGCCAGUUUUUUGGUAAUGAAGCUGCUAGUUUUUCGGUUGAUGCUUCAUCAACGAAAAAUUUAUUUAAACAUUUUGUUGAUGCAUAGCUAUUGAAGAAUAUUGUUCAUUUGGA